rnacentral:rRNA from 1 species
GAGGAAGUAAAAGUCGUAACAAGGUUUCCGUAGGUGAACCUGCGGAAGGAUCAUUAACGAGUUUUGAAACGAGUUGUAGCUGGCCUUCCGAGGCAUGUGCACGCUCUGCUCAUCCACUCUACCCCUGUGCACUUACUGUAGGUUGGCGUGGGCUCCUUAACGGGAGCAUUCUGCCGGCCUAUGUAUACUACAAACACUUUAAAGUAUCAGAAUGUAAACGCGUCUAACGCAUCUAUAAUACAACUUUUAGCAACGGAUCUCUUGGCUCUCGCAUCGAUGAAGAACGCAGCGAAAUGCGAUAAGUAAUGUGAAUUGCAGAAUUCAGUGAAUCAUCGAAUCUUUGAACGCACCUUGCGCUCCUUGGUAUUCCGAGGAGCAUGCCUGUUUGAGUGUCAUGGAAUUCUCAACUUAUAAAUCCUUGUGAUCUAUAAGCUUGGACUUGGAGGCUUGCUGGCCCUUGUUGGUCGGCUCCUCUUGAAUGCAUUAGCUCGAUUCCGUACGGAUCGGCUCUCAGUGUGAUAAUUGUCUACGCUGUGACCGUGAAGUGUUUUGGCGAGCUUCUAACCGUCCAUUAGGACAACUUUUUAACAUCUGACCUCAAAUCAGGUAGGACUACCCGCUGAACUUAAGCAUAUC